rnacentral:rRNA from 1 species
GACGAACGCUGGCGGCGUGCUUAACACAUGCAAGUCGAACGGAAAGGCCCUGCUUUUGUGGCGUGCUCGAGUGGCGAACGAGUGAGUAACACGUGAGUAACCUGCCCUUGACUUUGGGAUAACUUCAGGAAACUGGGGAUAAUACCGGAUAGUAGCUCCUGCUGCAUGGUGGGGGUUGGAAAGUUUCGGCGGCUGGGGAUGGACUCGCGGCUUAUCAGCUUGUUGGUGGGGUAGGGGCGUACAAAGGCUUUGACGGGUAGCCGGCAUGAGAGGGUGGCCGGCCACAUUGGGACUGAGAUACGGCCCAGACUCCUACGGGAGGCAGUAGUGGGGAAUAUUGCACAAUGGGCGGAAGCCUGAUGCAGCAACGCCGCGUGCGGGAUGACGGCCUUCGGGUUGUAAACCGCUUUCGCCUGUGACGAAGCGUGAGUGACGGUAAUGGGUAAAGAAGCACCGGCUAACUACGUG